rfam:Tropilaelaps mercedesae isolate Wuxi-XJTLT scaffold0000031216, whole genome shotgun sequence.
GGAACGGAAGCCUGGUCAAUUGAUCCAGCGCACUCAAAAGACAUUCGCUAGCAGAAGUAAUGUUGAAAAACGGUUCCUCCAGUGUGAUGUGUAUCAGGCGGCGUGAGUUUUAGUGGGUAGGUCCGCCUACAGUGGAAAUCCCACACUACCCGGCAAAUACCUUGUUGUGAAGCCGGUGCUCAUAAAAGUUUCUCCGUCGCAAAAAAAAAAAUGUAUGAAGAUAUUAACAAGUACCGUGAGGGAAAGUUGAAAAGAGGUCUGACGAAAUAGUUCAGUAGUACGUGAAACCAUAUUGAGUAAAACAGAUACCUGUGUUGUCAUGCAGUGUGCCUAUCAACAGUCCAUUUAGCGUUGUGAUGCCCUGAAUGUAGAUUGUUUAUUCAGCUGAUUGCUCGUGGUUAGCAUAGCUAGAGGUGCUAUGCACUGAUAUACACUCAAUCAUUGAGAAAUCUGCUGCUGCGACAUCGGCGUGCAUCAAGUCCGUACCUAAAACACAAUUGCAUCUGGGCGCUAGCUGGCUGGUUUAGUUUAGCUGUGAGACAGCUGUGGGUCGCGUUUCCCAAACAUAGCUGCUGUAUCUGUGAAUCGCUUUAUUCCUUUUUGCGAUGAGCAUGUUGCGUAAACGACUUGCUAUCAAUGGUUAACAUUCGUUAUUUGACCCGCCUUGAAACACUGACCAAGGAGUUCAUAUGGCACGCGAAUCUUUGGGUUUUGACAUUCGACGGCGAAGUAAAAUGAAAACCUAUUGUUAUUUGUGGUUGUUCCAUGUUUUAAGGGAUCCGCUACUCAUGCUUUUUUGUAAACUACAAACGUGGUGUUUAAAAUUCGGAAGAUGGUGACAUAUGCCUAGUAAAGAUGAAGCCAGAGGAAACUGGUGGAUGUCUGAAGUUAUGCAAACGUGCAAACCGAUAAUCUGCUCCGGGUAUAUGGGCGAAAGGCUAAUCGAACCAUCUAGUACCUGAUUCCUUCCGAAGUUUCCCUCAGAAUAGCAAGCGUAAAUCUUUAGUUUCAUUCCGUAGAACAUAUGAUUAGAGGCAUUGGGGCAUGUAUUGUCUCAACCCAUUCUCAAACUUUUAAUGGGUGUGAGUGUUCUUUUUCAAUUGAAGAACACUAUUACAUAAGUAUGUUUAAUAGGCCAUUUUUUAUAAGCAGAUCUGGCGCUAUGGGUUGAACCAAUUGUUAACUUAAAGCACCUAAGCUAGAAUGCGCAUGAGAUCUAUAAAGGGUGUUAGUUGCUGAAGACAGCAGGGCGGUGGCCAUGGAAAUCGGAAUCCGCUAAGGAGCAUGUGACAACACAACUGCCAAAGCAAAUGACCCCAAAAAUGGAUGGCGCUAUAGCAUUGUACUUGAACUCAACUUCGGAUGUACGGCGUAUCGGAACAUUCGUCGAAGGAUUUUGUUCUAAUCUGAAGCUGUCGCAUGUCCAGAUCUUGGUGGUAGCAGCAAGAAGUCAAUUGAUAACCUUAAGUACUGAAAUUGCGGAUGCGUCAAGUCAUUUACACCCAAGGAAUGAAGUGGAUUUGAGAUGUGGGUGAGAGUGACAUAAAGCUGCCCGUAUCAGAGUAGUUUGGUUGAUUCUCUUGAUCCUUAUAAAUUUGAGCUUGGUGCUAAUCCUGGUGGCAGCCCGUAGCAGAUCGCCAAAGUCCGAAGCCUUUAGUGUU